GAUAGUGAACUAGUACCGUGAGGGAAAGGUGAAAAGUACCCUGAAUAAGGGGGUGAAAUAGUACCUGAAACCAUACGCUUACAAACGGUCGGAGCAGCUUUGUGCUGUAACGGCGUGCCUUUUGCAUAAUGAGCCUACGAGUUAGUGUUGUUGGCAAGGUUAAUACUUUAAGAGUUGAAGCCGAAGCGAAAGCGAGUCUUAACAGGGCGAUCAGUCAGCAGUACUAGACGCGAAACUUGGUGAUCUACCCAUGGCCAGGUUGAAGCUCCGGUAACACGGGGUGGAGGACCGAACCCGUUGACGUUGAAAAGUCUUGGGAUGAGCUGUGGGUAGGGGUGAAAGGCCAAUCAAACUGAGAAAUAGCUCGUACUCUCCGAAAUGUUUUUAGGAACAGCCUGGGAGGAUGUCUGCUAGAGGUAGAGCUACCAAUAGGACUAGGGGGAGUCAUAUCCUACCAAAUCCUGAUGAACUCCGAAUGCUAGUAGAUUACUCCUGGAGUGAGGGCUAGGGUGCUAAGGUCCUGGUCCGAGAGGGAAAGAACCCAGACCGUCAGCUAAGGUCCCAAAAUCUAUGCUAAGUUGAACUAAGGAGGUCCAGUUGCAGAGACAGCCAGGAGGUUGGCUUGGAAGCAGCCAUUCCUUCAAAGAGUGCGUAACAGCUCACUGGUCGAGCGACAGGGCAUCGAUAAUAAUCGGGCAUAAAGCAUAUUACCGAAGCUACGGUCCCGAUGUAAAUCGGGAGGUAGGAGAGCAUUCCAAUGGCGGCGAAGGUGUGUCGUGAGACAUGUUGGAGCGAUUGGAAAAGAAAAUGUAGGCAUAAGUAACGAUAAGGCGGGUGCGAAACCCGCCCACCGCAAGACUAAGGUUUCCUGAUCAACGCUAAUCGGAUCAGGGUUAGUCGGGACCUAAGGCGAACCCGAAGGGGGUAGUCGAUGGACAACGGGUUAAUAUUCCCGUACUGGCUUUAUAGAGUGAUGUGGAGACGAAGAGGCGUAAGCUCUGCGAACUGACGGAAUAGUUCGUUGAAGACCGUAGGUAUAUUUAGAGUAGGCAAAUCCGCUUUGAAUGCUGAAAGUUGACAGUACUACAAUGCUUCGGCAGCGUAGAUAAUGAGCCCAAGCGUACUUCCGAGAAAAUCCGCUAAGCGUUUACUAUAAAGCGACCCGUACCGCAAACCGACACAGGUAGUCAAGGAGAGAAUCCUAAGGUGCUCGAGUGAUUCAUGGCUAAGGAACUAGGCAAAAUGACCCUGUAACUUCGGGAGAAAGGGUGCCUCCUUCCCGACUUGUCGGGAAGAGGCCGCAGUGAAGAGGCCCAAGCGACUGUUUAGCAAAAACACAUGGCUUUGCGAAGUUGAAAGACAACGUAUAAGGCCUGACACCUGCCCGGUGCUGGAAGGUUAAGAGG
rnacentral:rRNA from 1 species